AGAGUUUGAUCAUGGCUCAGAUUGAACGCUGGCGGUAUGCAUAACACAUGCAAGUCGAACGGUAACAGUCCCUCACCUAGAAAUUUCUUAAAAAGAGAUUUGUAGGUGAGGGAGCUGACGAGUGGCGGACGGGUGCGUAAUGUAUAGGAAUCUGCCUAGUAGUGGGGGACAACUCGGAGAAAUUCGAGCUAAUACCGCAUAAGCCCUCCGGGGGAAAACGGGGGAUCUUCGGACCUCGUGCUAUUAGAUGAGCCUAUAUUAGAUUAGCUUGUUGGUGAGGUAAUGGCUCACCAAGGCGACGAUCUAUAGCUGGUCUGAGAGGAUGAUCAGCCACACUGGGACUGAGACACGGCCCAGACUCCUACGGGAGGCAGCAGUGGGGAAUAUUGGACAAUGGGCGAAAGCCUGAUCCAGCAAUACCGCGUGUGUGAAGAAGGCCUGAGGGUUGUAAAGCACUUUCAAUUGGGAGGAAUACCUAAUAGUUAAUAGCUAUUAGAUUGAC
rnacentral:rRNA from 1 species